GGUGGAGCGAUUUGUCUGGUUUAUUCUGAUAACGAAUGAGACUCUGGCCUACUAAAUAGUGACAGGAUUAUUACUGUCUUGGAUACUUCUUAGAGGGACAAGUGGUUUUCAGCCACACGAAAUUGAGCAAUAACAGGUCUGUGAUGCCCUUAGAUGUCCGGGGCUGCACGCGCGCUACACUGAAGGAAUCAGCGUGCUAAAACCAUUGUCGAAAGGCAUUGGUAAACCCAUUAAAAUCCUACGUGAUUGGGAUCGGGAAUUGCAAUUAUUUCCCUUGAACGAGGAAUUCCCAGUAAGUGUGGGUCAUAAGCUCGCGUUGAAUACGUCCCUGCCCUUUGUAC
rnacentral:rRNA from 1 species